GGGUUCUUAACUCAGCCAGGCCAGAGUGGCGGACUUUUAAUCCGCAUGUCCCGGGUUCGAGUCCCGGAGAGCCCA
rnacentral:tRNA from 1 species